rnacentral:rRNA from 1 species
GACUCGGCAGGUGGCUGUUGCUGGCUCUCUCUUUAUAAGGGGGAGAAUGUGCACGCCUUCUUGCUUGUUUCCUCCUUUAUCACUUGUGCACUAUUUUGUAGACUCUAAUGUCUAUGUAGUCUUAUCACAAAUACAAUGUUAAGAAUGUAUUCAUACAAAGGUGCCUUUUUGUUGCGCCUUAUAAAAAUAUGAUACAACUUUCAACAAUGGAUCUCUUGGCUCUUGCAUCGAUGAAGAACGCAGCGAAAUGCGAUAAGUAAUGUGAAUUGCAGAAUUCAGUGAAUCAUCGAAUCUUUGAACGCAUCUUGCGCUCCUUGGUAUUCCAAGAAGCAUGCCUGUUUGAGUGUCAUUAAUCUCUCAAAAUGCUUUACUUUUUCAAGCAAAGUGUUUUUGGAUUUUGGGAGUUACUGCUGGCUUGUCAGCUCUCCUUAAAAGCAUUAGAGCCCUUCUCCUAUUAACUGGUAUGAUAAUUAUCUAUGCCUGAGAAAGUGAGAAGUAAGCCUCUAAUCGGUCCUGUCCAUGUUGACCUUA